GGAGAGAUGGCUCAUUGGUUAAGAGCACUGGCUGCUCUUCCAGCGGACCCGGGUUCAAUUCCCAGCCCCUGCA
rnacentral:tRNA from 1 species